AUCUCUCUCUCUCUCUCACUCUUUGUCUCUCCCCUAACCUUUAUUGUACUAGCAUAACCAUUACCAUACAUACUCUUCUCUAUCAC
rnacentral:sRNA from 1 species